CGUAGGGUGCGAGCGUUAAUCGGAAUUACUGGGCGUAAAGCGUGCGCAGGCGGUUUUGUAAGUCAGAUGUGAAAGCCCCGGGCUCAACCUGGGAACUGCGUUUGAAACUACAAGGCUAGAGUGUAGCAGAGGGGGGUAGAAUUCCACGUGUAGCAGUGAAAUGCGUAGAGAUGUGGAGGAAUACCAAUGGCGAAGGCAGCCCCCUGGGUUAACACUGACGCUCAUGCACGAAAGCGUGGGGAGCAAACAGGAUUAGAUACCCUGGUAGUCCACGCCCUAAACGAUGUCUACUAGUUGUUGGGAGAGUAAAAUCUCUUAGUAACGCAGCUAACGCGUGAAGUAGACCGCCUGGGGAGUACGGUCGCAAGAUUA
rnacentral:rRNA from 1 species